UGGGGGAGGGGGAAUGAACUGGAUCUUGGACCGGAGCCCGGCUGCGGAGGACGAGGGAGAGCGACAGCGCAGAGGGCCGCUGGGAGAGGCAGCUGCGGGGCCGAUAGCCGACGGCGGGUAGUAAAGGGCCGCUGGUCUAGCUGCCGUUAGGGUAGGAGGAACUAGAGGGAGAGCCCGCAGCCCUCUAGAUGCGCCCCUGGUACGUAUUCGACCCCUCUCCUUCGGCGCUGUUCCACGUUGUCAAGUACCGGUAUUGACCACGUUCGCUCUUCCAGCGGGAAGUCCGUGACUUUCGAUCACUAACCGUGAAUCUUCCCAGAAAACUAAUAAAGAUGUCGGUCGGUGUCUAAAGACACUGGUUAAGAGCUGUAGAACUUCUAGAAAUGUCGUCUAUGUUUCUUGCACUGCGACUAUACUAGUACCACCUUCCGUGUAGAGUUGACACGUUGCUGGACAACCACCUAGGAGUCCUACAACAGUACGAACAGUAUAGUACCGUGUACUUUCGACGGUGUUACACACUUAAAUGAGCGGUCCUUAAGUAACUACCAGACGUCAGUUAACCCCAUCUAAGUUAACUCUUCGAGGCACUCUUUGAAGGUAGUGACGCUCGACUCUAUUUCCUGCUAUUAUUCAAGGCACUCUAUAUGUUGAAACGCAAACGAACCCGAUCCCUUUUCCCAGUCUUUAGGGAAGGUGACCUCUGUCGAUAACCUUACACCUCCAACGACAAACGACUUUCCGUAACCGGGAAUUAACUAGUGACCACAGUCAAAGAUGUCCAGUCCGUAUUGUUUCGGUAGAGAUCCCUGUGUACCAGAGUCGACAACCUUAAACAGUUCUGUUAACUAGGUGUCAAUAGGUUGAUACUGCUUCUUCCACGAACCGGGAUGGAUUAACUACUUAAACACCUCAUGGAUUGGCUCUUACCUACGCAAGUCGCAUUGUUCACUUGGCAAACUCCGACGUAAGACUGAACCUAUAGUACUAAACCACCAUGUUUGUACUAAGUACAGCUAGUUAUCUCAUAAAUAGAAACCUACAGCCGUAACAAGGGCGAUGGGAAGUGUUUCGUCUACUACAGCAAACCACCUUAGAUGAACGCGUCCCCAACAAAGUGACCGAUCCUAACGUUUGAUAGUUAGAUCAAACAUAAAACACGACGGGGAUAGACGAUGUCGUAUGGGUUUUGUCAAUAACCAAAUGACGACUUACCCGCUACCCAGAUAUCAAGUACAUCCAGGUCCAUACUCCAUUACGCUUGAACACGAUAGCCAUAACUAACUAACAACGGUCUACCCCGUGGAACGAUACUCCAUUACGUUUGAACACUAUAGAAAGAUCCCUGGCAACCAAACUUGAAACUUAGUAGGGACGAAAAAAUACUACUAACGACGAAUCAACCGACGUCAAUUGAACUACUCGGCUAAUGAGAUC
rnacentral:rRNA from 1 species